AUUGAACGCUGGCGGCAGGCCUAACACAUGCAAGUCGAACGGCAGCGGGGGGUAGCUUGCUACCCCGCCGGCGAGUGGCGGACGGGUGAGUAAUGCCUGGGGAGCUGCCCAAUCGAGGGGGAUACCAGUUGGAAACGACUGCUAAUACCGCAUACGCCCUGAGGGGGAAAGGUGGGGAUCUUCGGACCUACCGCGAUUGGAUGCACCCAGGUGGGAUUAGCUAGUUGGUGAGGUAACGGCUCACCAAGGCGACGAUCUCUAGCUGGUCUGAGAGGAUGACCCGCCACACUGGAACUGAGACACGGUCCAGACUCCUACGGGAGGCAGCAGUGGGGAAUAUUGCACAAUGGGGGAAACCCUGAUGCAGCCAUGCCGCGUGUGUGAAGAAGGCCUUAGGGUUGUAAAGCACUUUCAGUGGGGAGGAAAGGGUGGAAGCUAAUACCUUUCAUCUGUGACGUUACCCACAGAAGAAGCACCGGCUAACUCCGUGCCAGCCGCCGCCGUAACAC
rnacentral:rRNA from 1 species